UACGGGGGGGGUAAGCGUUGUUCGGAAUUACUGGGCGUAAAGCGCACGUAGGCGGAUAUUUAAGUCAGGGGUGAAAUCCCGGGGCUCAACCCCGGAACUGCCUUUGAUACUGGGUAUCUGGAGGUCGAGAGAGGCGAGUGGAAUUCCGAGUGUAGAGGUGAAAUUCGUAGAUAUUCGGAGGAACACCAGUGGCGAAGGCGGCUCGCUGGCUCGAUACUGACGCUGAGGUGCGAAAGCGUGGGGAGCAAACAGG
rnacentral:rRNA from 1 species